rnacentral:rRNA from 1 species
CCCUUAGAUGUUCUGGGCCGCACGCGUGCUACACUGUACGGUUCAAUGGGUAAGGUAGUGCGAAAGCAUGACCUAAUCUCGAAAUCCGUUCGUGCUGGGGAUAGAAGCUUGCAAUUAUCCUUCUUGAACGAGGAAUACCUUGUAAGCGUGAGUCAUCAUCUCACGCUGAAUACGUCCCUGCCCUUUGUACACACCGCCCGUCGCUCCUACCGAUUGAGUGUUCCGGUGAGGCUUUGGGAGAAUGGCCUCAACAUGAGUUUAUCGUGUUUUGCCGUUUGAACUUAGUCAAACCUUAUCACUUAGAGGAAGGAGAAGUCGUAACA